GGAUUGAUACUAAGCCAUGCGAGUCAUUGUAGCAAUACAAGGCAUACGGCUCAGUAACGCGUAGUCAACCUAACCUAUGGACGGGAAUAACCUCGGGAAACUGAGAAUAAUGCCCGAUAGAACAUUAUGCCUGGAAUGGUUUAUGUUCCAAAUGAUUUAUCGCCGUAGGAUGGGACUGCGGCCUAUCAGUUUGUUGGUGAGGUAAUGGCCCACCAAGACUAUUACAGGUACGGGCUCUGAGAGGAGUAGCCCGGAGAUGGGUACUGAGACACGGACCCAGGCCCUAUGGGGCGCAGCAGGCGAGAAAACUUUGCAAUGUGCGAAAGCACGACAAGGUUAAUCCGAGUGAUUUGUGCUAAACAAAUCUUUUGUUAGUCCUAGAAACACUAACGAAUAAGGGGUGGGCAAGUUCUGGUGUCAGCCGCCGCGGUAAAACCAGCACCUCAAGUGGUCAGGAUGAUUAUUGGGCCUAAAGCAUCCGUAGCCGGCUCUGUAAGUUUUCGGUUAAAUCUGUACGCUCAACGUACAGGCUGCCGGGAAUACUGCAAAGCUAGGGAGUGGGAGAAGUAGACGGUACUCGGUAGGAAGUGGUAAAAUGCUUUGAUCUAUCGAUGACCACCUGUGGCGAAGGCGGUCUACUAGAACACGUCCGACGGUGAGGGAUGAAAGCUGGGGGAGCAAACCGGAUUAGAUACCCGGGUAGUCCCAGCUGUAAACUAUGCAAACUCAGUGAUGCAUUGGCUUGUGGCCAAUGCAGUGCUGCAGGGAAGCCGUUAAGUUUGCCGCCUGGGAAGUACGUACGCAAGUAUGAAACUUAAAGGAA
rnacentral:rRNA from 1 species